UUUUUAUGGAGAGUUUGAUCCUGGCUCAGGAUGAACGCUGGCGGCGUGCCUAAUACAUGCAAGUCGAGCGAACAGACGAGGAGCUUGCUCCUCUGACGUUAGCGGCGGACGGGUGAGUAACACGUGGAUAACCUACCUAUAAGACUGGGAUAACUUCGGGAAACCGGAGCUAAUACCGGAUAAUAUAUUGAACCGCAUGGUUCAAUAGUGAAAGACGGUUUUGCUGUCACUUAUAGAUGGAUCCGCGCCGCAUUAGCUAGUUGGUAAGGUAACGGCUUACCAAGGCAACGAUGCGUAGCCGACCUGAGAGGGUGAUCGGCCACACUGGAACUGAGACACGGUCCAGACUCCUACGGGAGGCAGCAGUAGGGAAUCUUCCGCAAUGGGCAAAGCCUGACGGAGCAACGCCG
rnacentral:rRNA from 1 species